UUCCCAGUCAGGGCACAUGCCUGGGUUGAGGGCCAGGUCCCUGGUACAGGGGGCGAGACAGGCAACCACACAUUGAUAAUCCUCUCCCUCUCAUUCUCCUUCUCUUCAUGUCU